GGAGAGAUGUCCGAGCGGUUUAAGGAACCGGUCUUGAAAACCGGCGAUGCAUGAGCAUCCGUGGGUUCGAAUCCCACUCUCUCCGCCA
rnacentral:tRNA from 1 species